rnacentral:rRNA from 1 species
AACGAACGCUGGCGGCAGGCUUAACACAUGCAAGUCGAACGCCCCGCAAGGGGAGUGGCAGACGGGUGAGUAACACGUGGGAACAUGCCCAAAGGUACGGAAUAUUCUCGGGAAACUGAGAGCAAUACCGUAUGUGCCCGAAAGGGGAAAGAUUUAUCGCCUUUGGAUUGGCCCGCGUCGGAUUAGCUAGUUGGUGGGGUAAAAGCCUACCAAGGCGACGAUCCGUAGCUGGUCUGAGAGGACGACCAGCCACACUGGGACUGAGACACGGCCCAGACUCCUACGGGAGGCAGCAGUGGGGAAUCUUGGACAAUGGGCGCAAGCCUGAUCCAGCCAUGCCGCGUGGAUGAUGAAGGCGCUAGGGUUGUAAAAUCCUUUCGUUGGGGACGAUAAUGACGGUACCCAAAGAAGAAGCUCCGGCUAACUUCGUG